rnacentral:rRNA from 1 species
AGCAGUCGCCGCGGUAAUACGAAGGGUGCAAGCGUUAAUCGGAAUUACUGGGCGUAAAGGGUGUGUAGGAGGUCGGGUAAGUCAGGUGUGAAAUCUCCCAGCUUAACUGGGAAACUGCGCUUGAUACUGCCCGGCUAGAGGAUCGGAGGGGGUAACGGAAUUUAUGGUGUAGCAGUGAAAUGCGUAGAUAUCAUAAGGAGCACCGGUGGCGAAGGCGGUUACCUGGAAGAUUCCUGACUCUGAAACACGAAAGCCAGGGGAGCAAACGGGAUUAGAGACCCCGGUAGUCCCUGUCUCUUAUAC